rnacentral:lncRNA from 1 species
UGGCACUGAUGCGUCCGUCCUGUCGUCCAAUAAAAUACAUAAAUAAAUAAAUAAAAAGAAUGGCCGAGCCAACCUUAUCACAUGGCCAUGGGCUUCCGCCACGUGACGAUAAGGACAAACGAACACCCAGCGACUGUAACGUAACGUGUCGCUCCCUACACCACAUCCAAUGCUAAUGGAACCCCCACCUUUCAGUUUCCAUCGAAUGGAACCAUAGAAAUGAGGCCGCGGACGGUGGCGGCCCACUUAAAUAUUCGUGCGCCUUGAUCGAUACCUUUGUGCGUCUGUGAUCCCCCGCGAGAGGUUAUCGGCUCCAUUUGGCACGUGCGACGAAUCAGCGGUCAAACAAACCCGCCAGUCUCGCUCGUCACCCGCUUGCUGUUGUGAGUUCACCGCAGUUAGUUUGGUAGUUAUGAGCAGGUUAAACAAACUGCAUUAAAAUAGACUAAUUUCGCAAAAGAAAAUGAAUUAAAAAAAGGCUUUUCGUAAUUGAUUAAUUGCUUAUAUAAGGGAAAUCAAUGAAGCUUAAGAAAAAUAAAAAAAAGGCAAGAAAGAAGAGUAGUGGAAGCAUUGAGGAGGCAUGGAAACAUCCACAGUGAAUGGAACUGUACGAUUGAAGUGCAAACAAAAGCACACACGUGAAAUGGACCCACCACCACACCAUUCUUUUGCGUGUGCGUCUCCAUCUUUCUCCCCCCUACCACUCCGCUUACCUUCCUCUUCUGCGCCUUUACGCCCUCUUUCCACGCCUUCUUCCUUGCUCUGUCAACGGUAGCUGCCAAGCUCCCUGCUCCGCUCUCUCUCGCGCGCACGGUGGGUGACAGGAACAGAGGGAUCCGGUUCAUGCGCAGGAGGCGG